UACGUAGGGGGCAAGCGUUGUCCGGAAUCAUUGGGCGUAAAGCGCGUGUAGGCGGCUUGGUAAGUCUGCUCUGAAAGCCCGGGGCUCAACCCCGGGAGGCGGGUGGAUACUGUCAAGCUCGAGUCCGGAAGAGGAGUGUGGAAUUCCUGGUGUAAGCGGUGAAAUGCGCAGAUAUCAGGAGGAACACCAAUGGCGAAAGGCAGCACUCUGGGACGUGACUGACG
rnacentral:rRNA from 1 species